UUGGAGACAAAACCUUUGCAGAUCAAUUCGGACAAAAUCCCCCUGGUUACGCAACCGCUGGCGAUUGCUAUAGUAAAGUAAAUUGUACUCAAGGAAGUUUCAUGAUAAAUCUUCAAAAGACUGGAUUUCGAAUAGCUGACGAUGUUGAGUGGGUAUCACAGGGUCACCAUACUUCUCAACAAAUUCAAAGACACAAGGACAAUCAAUUUGUUGUUGGUAAGUGUGGUGGUUAUUGCGGAUUGUGUACGCCCAACUACAAGAUGGGUUUAAAAGUGGGCUUGGCCGUUUCCUAAGCUAUUCAGACUUUCCCGAGAACAAAUUACGCGUUUCUUAAACGUAAAAAAACAAAGCGGACAAGUUUCAAUUAAUCGUUAUUGUGCUGUCAGUAGCAACAACAGAACUUAGAUCUGAGAUCAAGUUUACCUUCUUAUUCUGAGUACGUGAUCCUUAUGAUAUGUAAAUACUUUAAUGUACAGGUCGUGUAUAAAGUUGACAGAUCGUAUAUAAAAAAAGUUCAACAUAGAAAUAUAAUAAAUUUAGUAAUAUUUUAGUAAAUUUAGUAACAUUUUGUAAAUCUAGUGAAAUUUCAGCAAAUCUAGUGAAAUUU
rnacentral:lncRNA from 1 species